AAUUUUGAUAGAUAGCUCUCAUUUUACUGUACUACAGUCCAAGACGUUCACAUUUAACCAGAAGCACGGUGAGGGGAAAUUUGCAAGGCCAGUGAUGUGUAAAAACUAAUUCCACUUUAAAACUAAGAAAACAUAACAAAAUGUUGAACAUAGUCUAUGCAUUCUAUUCAAGAAAUUAUUUGUAUAAAUGUAUACAGGCAAUAAUUUUAUAUUGUAAGUCUACUAUUAUUCCUUUACCUAAAUUUUAAAUUAUAGUUUAAAAUACAAUAGAGGUAAGAACUCAGUUAAAGGAAGCACAAAGCAUAAGCUACCACAGACAAGCGAAUGUUAGUUCACACACUUUAGUGUACCAGUCAUAUUACAUGUGAGUCCUUGACUUAUUCUAUUCGUACCAAAAAGCAAAAGCUUUUAUAGCUCAAAUUUUGGUUGACAGUCUGCCAAUGCUGUGAGCCCAGUUAAAAAGCAUAUGCUAAAAUCUGUGUUUAUCAUUCAUUUUCAAAUGUGAAAGAGAAAAAGCAAGUUAUUGCAAAGUGUACAUGAACAUCUGCAUUCUACAGUGUUAUGCAAAACAAGCAGCAUCAGCUGAGUGUGUAAAACUCUGGUUAGAUCAUACCGCCCCGUGGAUACUGACUCUUGUCGGUCACCUUUCAGAUACAAAUCAUUUGAAUUUAGUUUAAUCAUAGUUAAGUGAAUUUGCUGGCAUAUUUUCCCCAGUUUUAGAAAAUAACUUAAGUAAUGUAAUACAUUAAUGAUUCACUGUUAUUAGUUUCUAAAUUUGCUGGUUACUUAACAAACCGGUAAAAAAUGAGUUACUAAAAUAUGUUCAUGUGUAUCAGUGAUAUGUUAAAUAACUGUGAGUUAAUUGGCAUAAGCCUGAAAAAGGCUAUAAAUUUAUAAGGCUUAUACUACCCACAGUUACCUUGGAAGGGAAACAUAACAAACCCCGUAUGAAAACCAAUUCUACUCCUGUGAUAUGGGUACCAUAGAAAUUACAGCUCAUGUUCUUUUGUAUUUAAAUCCUUUAUUUAAAUUUCUGGAGCCCUCUGGUAACUUUUAUUUACAUAAAUUAAACAAUCAGGAUAAUUUAUUUUUCUAAAAGUAGCAAAAUUUUGCUACAUAGGAUAUAUAUAAGCUUUGCCCACAAAUAGUUGCUAAUAGUUCUUGUUGUUAGGGAUAAUUUCUUGUUUGUUUUAUUGAAUAUAAUUGUAUUGGUCAAUGGCUGAAAUAAAAUGUCUGUCUGUCUAGUAUUUUCUAUAUUAAUACAUAUUAUAUGUAUCUUGGAGGUAUAAAUGGAAAACAUUUUUUAGGCUAAAAAGCUACCCUGUCAGCCAGGUGUAUUGAACCUUACAUACUGUACUGGAAUUAAUUUUUUUAAAGGUUCUAUAUUGUAAUUAUCUAAUUCGGGAUUUUCAAACUGGAUUCAAAGAGAACUUGAUGGGUUCUACAUGAGACUAAAGGGAAAAUAUGAAAUAUAUACAUUUGUGUAAAUAUAAACCACCACAAGCAUAAGCUCUGCUUUAUUGCCAGUUUCCUAACACUGGCCAAUUGAUCAUGGGUCCUGUUUUAUAACAACAGGUGCUAUAGACUGAAAAAGUUUUAAAAUCCCUGGUCCAGCCCACUGUGCUUUUAAAAAUCAUGCUGGUGACUGUGACAUCCCUGUAUGAUCCUAGCUGUGGUUCUAUUUCUGCUGAUAUUGCUUCAUGAGAUUUAUUAAAUGUUAGUUGGCCAAAAUCACUGUUCAUAUGAAUUUUAUCUAAGCAUAAGCAAUUGCUUAUACAGUCUGUAGAACACAAAUACAAUUUACAAAUUCUAUAAAUGAAAAUGUUACAUUAAUCUAUGUUCAGCGUAUUUUAUCACUCUGUAAUUAUGGUAAGAAAUACUUCAUUGGGAAAGAAAUAUUGUUCACAAAGUUUCUAAAAAAUAUUUUUUUAGAAUUCUGACAUAAUAAAUUCCUAACUAACAUCAUUACAAAAUUAUCUAGUUAUGAUAUCUGAAUAAUUUCAUACAUUCUCUAGGGGAGUGAGCAAAACGGAAAAAAAUCUGUUUUGAACUUGGAACAAAUCUCCAGGUUCUAGAAGUUCUCCUAAUGUCUUUCAAAUCAGUUCAUGAUUCAGGAGAAGUGAAUUAUUUGGGGUUUCAGACAAAAUGAAAUCUGAAUAGGAAGAUGCCAAAAUAGCAUAUGCCACAGGCCCACUAACUGCAACCCUCUUUUCCUGUGGCUAUUGAUAUUCCAGUGCAGCAUAUUUUAUCAGCUUAUCAUAAUCAUCAUCUUGUUAUCUUUUCUUCCUCCCUCCCUCCAUUGGUUUAGGAUGGUAUUGACCAUAUCAUAGAAUGUACUCUAUAAAUCUAUAUUCAUUUCAGCUAAUAAGAAAAGUCAACAGGAACAUUCCAGGUUGAGAAGUACUUUCAUGGAAGAGCUUCUAGGAAUGUAGUGUGAUGGAUAGGAGUUCCCAAAAAUGCACUUGGACAUCAGUGCUAGCCAAGGGGAGGAAAGGAGGGACUCUAAAAAAAGUGUGGUGACCAUGUCAGUGAAAUAUUUUACAUUGGGGUAUCAGUGGUAGUGACAGAUAAAGGGAAGGAAAAAGGGAAUGUACUGAGAAGAUGAGGGAAUGGGGGGAAAGGGGGAAAUGUGAGCAGCAUGUACUUUGUCUUUUUCCCCCCUUAACCAUCUCAGCACUGCUGCUUGGGUUUUUCCUCUCCUUCCAUUAACUGCCUCUGCCCAGGAACAGCCAUGUUCUAUUCCAUGUAUGAACCAAAACACCUAAAA